rnacentral:lncRNA from 1 species
CUUGGAUGUCAUUCACAUGAAGCUCAAAGCGAUUUCUACCCUGCUAACUGUGAUUAAUUUUAUAAACAACAACAAAAAUAUCAGGCCAAUGGU